GAUGAAAAACGUAGCGAAAUGCGAUAAGUAAUGUGAAUUGCAGAAUUCAGUGAAUCAUCGAAUCUUUGAACGCACAUUGCGCCCCUUGGUAUUCCGGGGGGCAUGCCUGUUCGAGCGUCAUUACAACCCUCAAGCUCUGCUUGGUCUUGGGCGUCACCGGUCCCCGGUGUGCCUUAAAAUCAGUGGCGGCGCCAUCUGGCUCUAAGCGUAGUACAUACUCUCGCUACAGACGUCCGGUGGAUGCUGGCCAGCAACCCCCAAUUUAUCAAGGUUGACCUCGGAUCAGGUAGGGAUACCCGCUGAACUUAAGCAUAUCAAUAAGCGGAGGA
rnacentral:misc_RNA from 1 species